UGUAUUUUAUCUGUCUAGGCUUCUCUUUGUGCUGUGACCCCUCCACAGUCACAGUACUCAAAGAUAGCUAUGACUGAUAUUGGAAAUAAUCAGAUUGCUCCACGAUUCUUAGAUGGAAUGUAUCAUAUACUUGAUUGCUUAGUGAAUCUGCAAGCUUAAUGGGAACAUUUUCCCUUGGGCUUAAUCAAGUUAUCUUUCAUGUAUUUAGCUCUCCAUAAGUGCUUUCCCCAUAACAUAAUAGAAACCUUGGCACACAUUUUAUUUCUGACUGUGUGCCUAAUAAACAUAACCAUUGUAAAUGUGUGUGAGGCUCUCAGCACCUUCAACUUGAUGGUAACAACUCACAGAAGAUGAAUAUCUGGCUUUAUAAUCCUAAAAUACAGGCUUAAUAGCAAGUCAUGAAAGUAAAGAUUUGAUUAUAGAGAUUAGAGGAAUAGAAAUUGGGUUUUAUAGUAAUUGAGUAACUAUUAAGAAUACUUCAAACACCUUGAAAGAAUCCUUAAAACACCAAGGUUUAAAAGAUCUAGAUAUGGGCUGAGGAUUUUUUUUCCAAGGGAAAAAAAACUCUACUCAUUUAAUUAAGCAACUUUCUAAAAUUGUCAGUACGGCUGUUUAAAUAUAGUCUCCCAGGGUUCUAAAGGAACAAAUUACACAGGAAAAUUAGUGCUAAGGGCUAAGAAGAAAUGAAGGUGUUUCUCAACAAUCAUGUUUGGAUUACAUUCGAAAUGAAACUCUAAUCACUCCACAAUUUAAGAAAAGGUUGAUGGUCUAGUAGUGACCUUUUGUGAAAGCUUUUCAAGAGGCUAGACUUGUUGAGAAACAUUUAUUAAGUGAAAUUUUACAAUGUAAGUUUUACAGCCCUUCUAUGUGGAACCUUGCGCUGAAGAAAUUGAAAGGUUAGAUGUGCUGAAGCCGAGACAUUUUUACAUGUGUAGUUUUGUUGUAACUUCAGUGCGUGGACAUGGCACUUUUUAAAAAGCCCCAUUAGGCCAAGAGCAUACAGGUUCCAGCAGGAAAAUGAAAACGUGGUGGGUUGGUAGUGAAUUCCCAUUAACGUCUUGGGAAGGAUCCGCAGAGAACUGGUGGGCAGUCGUGCGUGGCACUCAGGGCACAUGAGCCACGCCCAGCGGCCUUGCUCUCUCUGGGGCCCCUCUUUCUACAACCUGAGACCCUAGAUGCCCAGGCCUCCUCUGGGUUGUUGUCUGUCUCACUCUCUCCAGCCGGCAGCAGCGUGGCUUCAGUAGUCUUUCUUGGCAGAUUUUGCUGAUGGAGCACUCACUGGAGGAGAAGGCGCCGGAGUCCACCUACUUGAAACUCUGAAGGUGGAAUAUUUGCAUUCUAUAAAACUGUGGAAAAAGCUGCAGGACACUGAUCUGGAUAGCAAGAGACAGAAAAAUACAGCAGAUCACAGAAUCUAAUAACUUGGCCCAGGAGUAUCAAUCAAUGAAGCUCAAGAAAAACCAAUGGAAAGUGGGCACUCAACUGCUCAAAGGAGGGUUUCCAAGAAUGAAAUCAGUGUAACAAGAGGUGAAUUGCAUCCUUCAUCAAACACAUGUAGAACAGAUCAUAAAGGCAUCAACUCCCAAUUCUGAAAUGGGUGGUCUUUGUACUGCAUGUCUAGUUCCCAGUCUAACAAAGGUUAAUGCAUUUUUGUACCUUAAAAUGCCAAAAUAAUAAAUCCUACGUGGGUAAACUAUGUGGAAGUUUGAAAAACUGUAACAGAUACUCAGUUGAAAGAGUAAAAUCAUUUUUACAAGUAUUUAUUUGGAGGCCAGCAUUGUGGUGCAAUGGGUUAAGUUGUCACCUUUAAUGCUAGCAUCACAUUUGAUGCACCAUUUCUAGUCCUAACUGUUCCACUUUUGAUCCAGAUUGCUGCUAAUGUGCCUGGGAAGGUGGCAGAAGAUGGCCCAGGUACUUAGGAACCUGCACCCAUGUAGGAGAACUGGUUGGAGUUCCUGGCUCUGGCUUUGGCCUGGUCCGGGCCUGGCCAUUGUGGGCAUUUCUGGAGUGA